UGUUAGCUUUCGCGGGCCAGCCGAGGCCGUGGAGGCGGGUUCGGGCGGGGGAACUCCGGUGCAAGACCGGGACUGACGCGCAGCGGUGAGGGACGGCUUCCGAGCGUUCCGAGUCCGAUUACCCACUGGCACCCACUCCGGCCU
rnacentral:ncRNA from 2 species